rnacentral:tRNA from 3 species
GGAGAGGUGGCGGAGUGGUCGAUCGCGCCGGUCUCGAAAACCGGAGUGGGUGCAAGCCCACCGUGGGUUCGAAUCCCACCCUCUCCGCCA